GUGAAUCAUCGAAUCUUUGAACGCACAUUGCGCCCCCUGGCAUUCCGGGGGGCACACCUGUUCGAGCGCCAUUUCGACCCUCAAGCAUGGCUUGGUGUUGGGCGCGGUCCUUACCGACCUGCCCGUAACUCGUAGGCGGCCGCCGCCCGCGCCCCCAGCGUAGCAAGCUCACGCGUUCGCUCGGGGACGGCGCGCCCGGCCGCCCACAACACUUUUCAAGGUUUGGCCUCGGAUCAGGUGGGGAUACCCGCUGAACUUAAGCAUAUCAAUAAGCGGAGGA
rnacentral:misc_RNA from 1 species